GCUGGGGUGGCGGAAUUGGUAGACGCGCACGCUUGAGGGGCGUGUGGUUCACACCGUGUGGGUUCAAGUCCCAUUCCCAGCACCA
rnacentral:tRNA from 3 species